rnacentral:rRNA from 1 species
AGUGAACGCUGGCGGUAGGCCUAACACAUGCAAGUCGAACGGCAGCACAGUAAGAGCUUGCUCUUACGGGUGGCGAGUGGCGGACGGGUGAGGAAUACAUCGGAAUCUACUUUUUCGUGGGGGAUAACGUAGGGAAACUUACGCUAAUACCGCAUACGACCUACGGGUGAAAGCAGGGGAUCUUCGGACCUUGCGCGAUUGAAUGAGCCGAUGUCGGAUUAGCUAGUUGGCGGGGUAAAGGCCCACCAAGGCGACGAUCCGUAGCUGGUCUGAGAGGAUGAUCAGCCACACUGGAACUGAGACACGGUCCAGACCCCUACGGGAGGCAGCAGUGGGGAAUAUUGGACAAUGGGCGCAAGCCUGAUCCAGCCAUACCGCGUGGGUGAAGAAGGCCUUCGGGUUGUAAAGCCCUUUUGUUGGGAAAGAAAAGCAGCAGGUUAAUACCCCGCUGUUCGGACGGUACCCAAAGAAUAAGCACCGGCUAACUUCGU